GUUGAGUGUUUAAUCUGUGGUAAGAGUACAGAAAAUCUAAACAGACAGACUAUUGAGAUAUUAGCUGCAAGAAAGUUUAGACAUUACUUCAGAAGGAUUUUGACCAGGAACAAAAUCUACUGAAUAUGUCAAGCUCUUCAUCUCUUUGUAAAUUGAAUCAAGGGAGUUUGAGUGUGUGUGGGGUCUGUAUGUGUUUACUGUGUGGAAUCAGAGAACAUUGCCAGUAGUCAGAUAUAAAGGUUAUAAUGUUAAAAAGCACACAACCCAAAGCAAAACUCUCCUUUUUUUUUCUGAGCCUUGACAUACCUGGAAGCGCAUUUCUUUGUUUUUUUUUUAUUAUUAUUUUCUCUAUACUGUAACUUAAAAGUCUUGUAGGCUUCAUUUUAAACCUCAAACUUUUUUGAUGCCAAGAUUUGAUAAGGAGAAGGGAAUAGUAGAACUUUGUGCUUUCAACAGCAAAACCAAGAGACUAGGAGCAGAUAUUUGAUUUAGCCCCAGUAUAUAAAAUAAGAGGCAUUGGUGAAGCUCAGCAGGUUCCUUUGAUGAGGGCCUCUGAGGAGUCUCACCUGUAACCAAUUUAUCUCCUGGGUCAGGUUGCAGAACAUGUGAACACAGACAGUACUCUUUUGUGCUUUGUUCUUGUAGUUUGUAAUUUGGAGUUCAGUCUUAACAGAUGUGAUUUUUUCCUGUCUUAAUGUUGGAUAAAUGAACAAUUGGGGAAGUACUGUUUUACUUGUGCAGCUUUAUUUCCUGAAAACUUGGACUUUGUGAUAUGCUUGGCAGACUGCUCUGUGUCAUGUACCUGCAGUUAUGAAGCUAAAGAGAUGGGAACUUGAAGCAGCUACAAUACCAGGUUCAAUAUUGACAAAAAACUAGGAAAACCAUCAACAAUCUAAGACAGCACCUACCCCUAGAAGACACACCUUUGUGAAGCCUACAUGAAAUAAACAACAGCGAUAUCAUCAAUAAGGAGAAAGCUUCUCCUGAAAAGAACAUAGCAUGCAUUUCGAUGUACCGAUCCUAAUUCCACAGGAAGUCCACGGAGAGAGUUACCUUAAGGAAAAGUCAGUUUCUACUGAUGUCAUUGAAACAACAGUAGUUUCCUCCAUGGAAAAAGUACAGGAGUUCCCCCUCUGUUACACGCCCUGGAGAAUGCUGCUGUGGAUGGCAAAGAGUGUGACUCAUCUGGCUAUAGAGCUGGAAGUGUAAUAUUAAAGAAAAUAAAUAACAAGACUGAAAAGAGCAUUAAAUGAGGAAAUGAGGCAUGAAUGCGUGAGACAGAGGUUAUUCUACUACAUGCAAGUAGAUACCACCUAAUUACUUGGGAAGUAGCAGUUAGUAAGUACAAGAUCAUGAAUGAAUUAGAAACAAUCCAGGAUGCGCCCAAAUUCGCCAAUCUAGUAGUUUCACUUCCAGCAACAGGUGGCUGCU